GCGCAGUCGCGAAACCUCCGCAAUGCGGGAAACCGCGACGGGGUCAGCCGGAGUGCUCGCGCAUCGCGCGGGCUGUCGGGGUGCCUAAAAAGCACCCCAUAGCAAGGGCCGGGCAAGGCCGGUGGCAGCCGCCGCGGUAAUACCGGCGGCCCGAGUGGCGGCCACUUUUAUUGGGCCUAAAGCGUCCGUAGCCGGGCUGGUAAGUCCUCCGGGGAAAUCUGGCGGCUUAACCGUCAGACUGCCGGAGGAUACUGCCAGCCUAGGGGACCGGGAGAGGCCGGGGGUAUUCCCGGGGUAGGGGUGAAAUCCUGUAAUCCCGGGAGGACCACCUGUGGCGAAGGCGCCCGGCUGGAACGGGUCCGACGGUGAGGGACGAAGGCCAGGGGAGCGAACC
rnacentral:rRNA from 1 species